UGCCCCUCAUUUUACAAAUGAGAAAACUGAGUCCCAGGCAAGUUAAAUGAGCUAGUUAGUAGCACAGCUGAGAUUAGAGCAGAGUUCUCAUGACUUUCAAAUCCAGUCCUCAUUUCACUAAAUCAUCUAUAAUUUGAUGUCUCACUAAUUUCUUUCGUCACUUCUUAUGUUGCUUCAGGCUAUUCCACUUGCUUUAUCUAUCCUCCUAUGAUCAUACCCCACAUGAAUAUAUGAUUUGGAUGAAGAUGAAAAUGAGGAUGAGGAUGAGAAUGGUGUUUGAUCCACUGUAAUCUCUUUCAAGAGGACCAGUUUGGUCCUUAUGCAACCAGUUUGGUCCUUAUGCAAAGGGAUAGAAGAUUUGCAUACAUUAAGAGGUUACUCUGUGGAGAUUAGACAAGGUGACAGUGACUUAAUGAUAGAUUGCUUUGCAGCAAAUUAAUUUGGUCCCAGCAUUUCUGUUAAACAAUGUGGAGAUAACAGAAACUGAUUAUCUUCUCCAAAUAUUCAGGAGACAGAAAAAAACUUAAUGACAGAAACAGAAAAGCACCCUCAGGUGCAAGGGACAGGAGGAAUGACAAGGAUACAAGCACAGACAUGGAAGGAACAAAUAGUCAAAAUAAUUUGUUUUCUAAGCAAUGAAGCCAUUUGUCUGGACCCAGUGACAUACCUAUUGAUCUCCUGUUUUCCUCUGGGGGGUAAAGAGCAACAGUCCACAGCCUGGAGGAGCAAAAGCUGGACAAAGAAACCUCUUAGUUAUGGCUGCUGCUAUGGCCUGAGGAUUUCUCCUGGUGUUAUAAGGGAUGAGUUCUUGGCAGAGGACCAAACUAAAUUAAUAGGGAGAGAAAAAAACCAGGAGCAAUGAAUAGAAGUUGCAAAGAGAUGAAUUUGGGCUUGAGAAUAAGGACAGGCUGGUAAAUUCUUUAGCCCAUUACUCAAAAUGUGCUGUGACAUUUAAUCUGAGUUGGUCAAUGAGAAGAGGUUCAGAAUUUGCUGAGUUCCAUAACUGUACAGCAUCUGAGAUUACCUUCCGUUUACUCUG
ensembl:lncRNA